AUCCAUUUGUUCACCAGAUAUAUAAUUUAUUAUGUUGCUUAUGCAUUGUACACUGUAACUCCAUUAUUCCAGCAACUCAAAACCCCAUCCAAUCACUUGGUUCAUCUCACUGUUACAAUCUCUAGGGUGUGUUGUCCUUUGCAUCAGAUUCGAAUACUGUUCCUAUAGCACAGGAAAACUAUAAACACAAUAUAUAAUUGUAUCCAUUCACAUCCAGUAUACAGGAGGCCAGGGACACAGUGGAAUGACAUGGUCAAAUUGCUGAAGAAAUAACUACCAACCCAGAUUUCUAUCCACAACAAUAGUAUUUUUCAGGAAGAGCACAAUAUAAGAUUAUAUCUGGUCAAAAAUUGGAAAUUUAGUAGAAAAGUAACCCUAAAAGUUAUCCUUAAGGCCAAAGGAAAGUGAUUACAGGUGAAAGUUCUGCAGUGGUAGAAGGAAUGAGAAUCCAAGAGAUGGAUGCAUCUGCAGAUCAAUACAAUUACUUAUUAUCUCUAUACAACAUGAACAAUAUCUUCUAAUUGAGCAGAAUAAUAGAUAUGCUAUACUCCAAUACCAACACUCAAUGACAUCCUUUGAUGUGUUCAAGAGAAGGGUAAAGGUAUUAACAAUUCUAUAAUAGGUUAGAGAAGUGUUACAAUUCUUAUCUUAGACUAAUGAAUAAAAUGAGUAUAUACAUUUCAAACUAAAAGAAAAUUAAGAUUAUUAAAACCUAUAUAUUUUUAAAAGAAAGCACAAAAAACAGCCUAGAAGAAAACCACAAAAUAAGAUGCAUUUAAAACCAAAUAUAUUAGCUAUCACAUGAAUUGAAUACAGAAUGCGUGAAUAGUAAUUUCUAAUGGAUUAAAAUAAUCCAGUAGUAGUUCAUAAAUUACACAUCUAAGAUAUAAUGUCAUAGAAAUAUAUGAAAUAGAAGAAUGAAAUAUGUAUACUUAUAAUUACUAAACACAAACACACAAAAAUGUGUAUUUGCAUCUGACAAGUAGGAAUAAGGAAGAAAACACCAGUAAAAUAUACUUUACAGUUUAUACACUUUUAAAAAUUUUAAUAUUACUUUUUAUAAAGAUGAGAGUUUCACUAUGUUGCCCAGGCUGAUCUCAAAUUCCUGGCCUCUGGCAAUCCUCCUGCAUAGGACUUCCAAAAUGCUGGGAUUAUAGGAGUGAGCCACUGCACCCGGCCUGUAUACAAUUUUUACCAUCAAUUCAAAUUACAUUAAAAAAAUUUAGUAUAAUGAGAGUAAAGAAUUAAAUAUACAGACAAACCAGGAUAUUUUAAUAUUAGCUAUCUCAGUAAUGAUUUCAAGAAGGCAGGUAUAACAUUGGUGAGGUUCUAUUAGAUUCAUACACCAUAAUGGACAAAUCUGGACUGACAGAUACAUACAGAACAGCAGAUAUCAGUUGCCGAAUGUUUUCUUUUAGCACAAACUGAGUAUUUAAAAAACUGACAAUAUGUAGUAUCAGAAAAAAUCUUUAACUUUCAUAGAAUAAAAGAGAGAAUACAAUCAGUGUAGAGAUCAACAAAAGAUACCUCAAACUCCUGGCCUCAAGUGAUCCUCUUGCCUCAGCCUCCCAAAAUGUUGAGAUUACAGGCUUGAGCCAUCAUGCCCAGCCUAGAUACCUGAUUUCUUUUUAAUUAUGCUUGAAAUUCAAAUUACAAAAUACUAAGUAACCCAUGCAUAGAGGAAACAAAAAUUGAAGAUUAUUUUAUUUGUAAAAUAAUGACAAUACCAAUUUCAUAGGACUUUUUAUUAGUAGUAUCAUAGGCAGUCUUCUGACAAAUUAGGAAAAGUAGAUAGGGUCUGUCCUUAGAGUAGUGGCUUGGGCUGAUUACCUAACUUCUCUGCACCUCAGCACUGUCAUCAUUACAUUGAAGGGGUCCCUACGGUGCCUUAAAGUGCUCAAGCUCUAUUAUUCACCACACUAUUUUGUCAUUUUUAAAUUAUCAUAGGAUAUUCAACCUGAAGUUUUACUUUACCUGCCCACGUCAUCUCUACAUAUUCUCAUGAGAUGCAGUUCAUGAAUUCUAAAGCAGUAUCAUUUAAUGUAUUAUUUUAAAAAGAUAUUUAGAAAGGUAUAUUCAUUUCAAACAUCUUUAAGAAUAACAGUAUAUCCACUUAAUACCAAAAAGCAUCUCUACAGCAUUAUUUCAUUUAUAUCAAUUUUUAAAUCAGCCAAAAAUGCAAAGCUACUAUUAGUAAUAUACAUUUAAGGUGUCGAACUAUGAAGAAAGUAAAAUGAGUAAGGCAAAAUUCUGGAUGGCGGCAUCCUCUGAAGGUGGAGGAUGGAAUUGGCAAUCUGGCAGGCUCAUGCCGGGCAUGCUGAUUUUGUUCUAUUAUAUAAUCAAGGGGCAGGGUUGAGUGUAUUAGUUUAUUAUAUUUAUCAUGUUUUCCCAUUUUUUAUUCAUGUAUAAGUAAAGAUUAAGUGGACAAAUCUUAAUAGCCUGAAGACUGUCUACAUGUGUUUCCCAUGUAAUUCCUAGUAAUGCAAAGAGAGAGAACAUUCCCAAUAGCUUCUCAGGCACAAAUUUGCCCUCUCAGUUAAUACUGCAUAAAUGUGACCAUUAUCUUGUCUUUUAUCAUCAUGUAUGAUGUUUGGUUAUGAACUUAACAACAUAAUUCUACAGUAUUUCCUACUGUGUAUCUGGUAUGCCACUGCCACUCAAGGUUUCUUUGAGAGGGAGACUAUAUAUUUGUUACUAUUAUUAAUGAAUCUAUUUCCAUGACUGCUGUGAAAAACCCAGGCUGAGUUAACAGUGAUGAGCUCUGGCCAGGCACAGUGGCUCACGCCUGUAAUCCAACACUUUGGAAGGCUGAGGCAGGAGGAUCACUUGAGCCCAGGAGUUCAAGACCAGGCUGGGGAACAUAGGGAGACCUCAUCUCUAGAAACUCACAGGUGGCAUGCGCCUGUGGUCUCAGCUACUAGGGAGCGCAAGGCAGGAGGACGACUUGAUGCUGGGUCAAGACCAGCCUGGGCCAUAUAUAUAGCAAGACCUUAUCUCUAAAAAAAAAAAAAAAAAAAAAAAAAAAAAAAAAAAAAAGAUUAGCUGGUCAUGAUAGCGCAUACCAGUAGUCCUAGCUAUUCUGGAGGCAGAGGUGGGAGAACUGCUUGAGCCCAAGAAUUCAAAACUGAGGUGUGAGGAUCACUUGAGCCCAGGAGUUUGAGUUGAUUGUACCAUUACACUCCAGCCUACGUAACACAGUAAGACCCUGUCUCUUAAAAAAAGAAAAAAAGAAAAAAGAAAAAUCUAACAAUGCUUCUCAAGGAACUAGAAAAGAACACAUCAGACCCAAAAUUACAAGGAAAGAAUUAAUAAAGAUCAGAAGAGUAAUAAAUAAAACUGAGACUUAAAAAAAAAUUCAAAGGAUCAACAAAAUGAAAAGUUCAUUUUUUGAAAAGAAACCAUUAGACUAACCAAGAGAAAAGACUCAAAAUCAAACACAUACAAAAAUGACACUGCAACUGAUACCACAAAAAUACAGAGUCAUUAGAGACUAUUAUGAACAACUACAAACCAAAAAGUUGGAAAACCUACAGAAAAUAAAUUCCUAGACACAUACAACCCAUCAGGAUUGAACCUAGAAGAAACAGAAAAUUUCAAUUGACCAAUUCUGAGUAACAAGAUUUAAGCAGUAAUAAAAAGUCACCCAUCAAAGGAAAGUCCAUGAUCUCAUGGCUUCACUGCUGAAUUCUACCAAACAUUUUAGGGGAAUUAAAUAUGAAUUCUUCUCAAACUUUCCCAGAAUAAUGAAGAGGAGGGAAUUAUUCUAAACUCACUCCACAAGCCAGCAUUACCAUGACACAAGCACCAGAUAAGGACACACACAUGCAAAAGAAAACUACAGGCCAAUAUUCCUGAUGAACAUAAAUGCAAAACUCCUCAACAAAAUACUAGCCAACCAAAUCCAAAAGUACAUCAAAAAGAUUGUUUACCAUGACCAAGUGGAAUUCAUUCUAGGGAUGCAAGAAUGGGUUCAACAUACACAAAACAAUAAACAUGAUAAAUCAACAGAAUGAAGAACAAAAAAUGUGAUUAUCUCCAUAGGUGGAGAAAAAGCCUCUGGUAACAUUCAAUAUCCCCUCAUGAUGAAAACUCUUAACAAAUUACACAUAAUAAUAGAAAGAAUGGGCCGGCCGCGGUGGCUUACACCUGUAAUCCCAGCACUUUGGGAGGCCGAGGCGGGCGGAUCACGAGGUCAGGAGAUCAAGAUCAUCCUGGCUAACAUGGUGAAAACCCAUCUCUACUAAAAAUACAAAAAAUUAGCCAGGCAUGGUGGUGGGCACCUGUAGUUCCAGCUACUUGGGAGGCUGAGGCAGGAGAAUGGUGUGAACCCAGAAGGCGGAGCUUGCAGUGAGCUGAGAUCAUGCCACUGCACUCCAGCUGGGCGACAGAGCGAGACUCCAUCUCAAAAAAAAAAUUAAAAAAAAUUAUAAUAAUAAUAGAAAGAACGUACCUCAACAUAAUAAAGGUAAUAAGUAACAUACCCACAGCUAACAUCAUGCAUAAUGGGAAAGUGCUGAAAGCUUUCUCUCUAUAAUCUGAAACAAAACAAGUAUGCCCACUUUCACACCUUUUAACAAAGUACAAAAGGUCUGAGACAGAGUAAUCAGGCAAGACAAAGAAAUAAAGGGCAUGCAGAUCAGGAAGCAUGAAGUCAAAUUAUCCCUGUAUGCACAUGACAGGAUCAAAUAUAUAGAAAACCCUAAACUCCAAAAGUGGCACCAAAAAAAUCUUAGGACUGAUAAAUUCACUGAACUUGCAGGAUAUAAAAUCAACAUGCAAAAAUCAGCAGCAUUUCUAUACACCAACAAUGAAUUAGCUGAAAAAGAAAUCAAGAAAGCCAUCCCAUUUACAAUACUUCAACAAAAAUAAAAUAAGAAUACAUGGAAAACUAUAUAACACUGAUGAAGUAAAUCAAAGAGGACACACAUAAAAAAGGAAAAACAUCCCAUGGUCAUGGAUUAGAAUGGUUACUAUAAAAAUGAACAUACUUUCCUGUAAGAGAUAGCUUAUGAAAAAAAAUGAACAUACUACCUCAAGUGAUCUACAGAUUCAAUGCACUCUUAACAAAAUACCAAUGACAUUUUUCACAGAAAUAGAAAUAGUAAUCCUAAAAUUCAUGAUAUCACAGAAGAUACUGAAUAUCCAAAGCAAUCCUAAGCAAAAAGAACAAAAUGGGAGUCAUCACACUACCUGACCUUGAAAUAUACUACAAAGUGAUGGUAACCAAAACAGCAUGGUUCAGGUAUUUUUUAAAAACCACACAAACCAAUGGAACAAAACAGAGAGCCCAGGAAUAAAUCCCAUUUACAGCCAACUGAUUUCUAACAAAGGCACAAAGAACAUUCACUGGGAAAAGGACAGUCUCUUCAAUAAAUGGUGCUGGGACACUGGAUAUUCAUAUGCAGAAGAAUGAAAGUAGACUCAUCUCUCACCAUACACAAAAAUCAACUCAAAACACCAAGUAUGCUGGCUCAUACCUGUAAUCUUAGCUACUCAGAAGGCUGAGUUGUGGCUCACUUGAGUCCAGGAGUUCAGGACCAAGCUGGGCAAUGUGGUGAGACUAUGUCUCUAAAAAAUAAUUAAAAAGCAAAAACAAAAAUUGGGAAUGUAUUUUUAGGGCAAUUUGAAUCUAUGCUCUCAGGAUAAUCAACUCAAAAUGGUUUGAAAGCUUAAAUGUAAGAGCAAAAACUAUGAAACUACAGAAGAAAACAUAGGGGAAAUGCUUCUGGAUAUUGGUCUGGGCAAGGAUUUUAUGAAUACCUGAAAAUCAAGGUAACAAAAGCACAAAUAAACAAAGGGAUUAUAUUAAACUAAAAAACUUCUGCACAGCAAAGGAAACAACAGAAUGAAGAGACAACUAGUAGAGUGGGAUAAAAUAUUUGCAAACUAUUCAUCUGAAAGGGAUUAAUAUCCAGAAUAUAAAAGGAACUCAAUAGCAAAAAAAAUAAAAAUAAAAAAUCUGAUUUUAAAAUGGGUAAAUAAGGUGAAUAGACAUCCCUCAAAAGGAGACAUACAAAUGGCCAAGUAUAUGAAAAAAUGCUCAACAUCACUAAUCAGGGAAAUGCAAAUCAAAACCACAAUGAGAUAUAAUUUCACCUCAGUUAGGAUGGCUAUUACCAAAGAUAAAAAAUAAAAAAUGCUGCUGAGAACAUGGAAAAGGGGGAACUCUUAUAUAUGGCUGGUAGGAAUGCUAAUUAGUAUAGCCAUAUGGAAAACAGUAUGAAUGUUCCUCAAAAAUCUAAAACUAUAGCCAGGCACGGUGGUGUGUGCCUGUAGUCCCAGCUACUCAGGAGGCUGAGGUGCAGGACUGCUUGAGCCCAGGAGUCUGAGACCAGCCUGAAUAACACAGCAAGACCCCAUUUUAAAAAAUGAAAAAUAAACAAAAGUUAAAAAUACAACUACCAUAUGAUCCACUGGUAAUGAUCUAUACCACUACUGGGCAUAUAUGCAAAAACAAAUAUAUCUAUACGUCAAAGAGAGAUCUACACUCCUAUGUUUAUUGAAGCACUAUUCAUAAUAGCUAAGAAAUCAGUCUAAGUGUCCAU
rnacentral:lncRNA from 1 species